GCUGCGCUCGCCGCCAUGUUGCGGCCGUUGGUGCCGGGUGCGGGGUGAGGCCUAUGCGGGGCUCUGGCGGUGGCGGGGCCCUCAGAGGAGCCGUCAGCGUGGCUUUCAUAAUGGGGGACAUGAAAACCCCAGACUUUGAUGACCUCUUGGCUGCUUUUGACAUCCCUGAUCCAACAAGCCUUGAUGCCAAGGAGACCAUCCCAUCAGCUGGGGAGGAGAAUGAUAAUCACCUGAAGUCAUCAGGAAUCUGCAUUGAUGAGAAUGUGUCCUUAUCCCACUCUUUGCCUCCCUCUGAUGCUCCUGUUGUGAGUGUGAUAGUGAAGAACACGAGUCGCCAGGAGUCCUUUGAAGCAGAAAAGGAGGGGAAUCACCUUGGUACUGGUCUGCUACACAAUGGGUUUCGUGGGUCCGAUCUGCCAUCAGAGGCUCACGCUUUAGUCCAUAAUUAUGGCAAGUUUGAGUCAACUUUUAUUAAUGGUGACAGCUCAAGAAGUUACUCUGAUAAACUGGAGCAGUCUAAGUCAGAGCCUUUGCCAACAUUUAGUCAGUUUAGCCCAAUUUCCAGCCCUGAACCAGAGGAUGCAUUCAAAGAGAACAGCAUUGGUGAUAAACCCAAACAUGCCCAAACACCCUAUUUUCCACCACCUUCAAUGUAUAUACCAACAGGAGCUUCAGUACUAGAUCAUCUUAGAAAGCUACCAGAGCCUGAAUUAAGCAUGUUUGAUCAAUACUGUAAAAAGGAACAAAAGAUGGAAAUCCACUGCCAGCCGGCAAAUAGGCCAGAAAUGGGCAGGAGAGAACAAGACAAAGCAGCAGAGAGGUUUUUGGAGUCAGGCAAGGACUUGGUAGAUACCAAUAGCUUUCUUGGGGAAGGCUUGGUGUUUGGAGACCUCCCUCACAAUAAUUUAGGAGAAAAGGGGUCUGUGCCUGAGCAGAACAUGUCUUCAUCGAUACCACCUCGCCAGAGGUUAAAGCCAACUCAUUCAAAGUUGUCAUCCUGCGUGGCAGCGUUAGUAGCUCUUCAGGCCAAAAAGGUUGCAUGUAUUCCAAAAGGCGAGCAACCAAAUCUUACCAAGGAACCUGGUCCUUUUAAAGACGGGAUGAAGGGAAGUCCAAAAAUGCCCAAAUCACCAAAGAGUCCCCGAAGCCCUUUAGAGGUGGUAAGAAAGGCCAGCAAGCAGCCUGAGAGUCCUCAAAGCGUGUGCAGUGACAGCAGUGGGAAAGGCUCUCCUUCCUUGGCAGCUGGCUCUCCGCCAGCUAUUCCCAAGGUUAGAAUAAAGACUAUCAAGACAUCUUCUGGUGAAAUUAAAAGAACUGUAACUAGAAUUUUGCCAGAAAAUGAUGAGUUGGGCAAAUCUUCAGAAGAGUCGCCUGUGGAAACCUCAUCUGCCGAAGAGUCUAUCAAAUCUUUUCCAUCCCCUGACACUAGUGUAGUUAUGGAAAGUGAGGCCAGCAGGAAUUCAACCAAAAAUGGGGCUACUGUGGCUAUCCAACUGUCAAGCAUAACAAGUCCUUACACAGAUAGCAUGAAAACAGAUAUUGCUGCAAACAGCAUGUGUACUGUGUCUUUAUCUCCACUGCCAAACUGCGGCAGUGGUGCCAUAAAAGUAGGUGUUAAGAGGCAGCAGCAGGGUAUCGUGAUGCAGCCAUCCAGCGUCACCACCUCUAGCCUUCUUCCCAAAGCUGUGCACUUGGCAAAUCUCAACUUGGUCCCACAUAGUGUUGCUGCUUCUGUUACGGCAAAGUCAUCAGCACAGAGGCGAAGUCAGCCUCAGGUGACACAGAUGUCUGUGCCCCUGGUGCAUCAAGUCAAGAAAGCUGCACCCAUCGUCGUGGAAGCUUUUAAUAAAGUACUACACAGUGCCAAUCCAGUGCCGAUAUAUACUCCAAACCUUAGUCCUCCACCUGAUACCAGUAUUAAUUUACCUGCCUCUGGGUACUGUUGCCUGGAAUGUGGGGACUCAUUUGCCUUAGAGAAAAGCCUGACUCAACACUAUAGUAGACGAAGUGUUCAUAUCGAAGUCAUGUGCACUCAGUGUUCAACUAUGCUACUUUUUUUUAAUAAGUGUAGCUUGCUUAAACAUGCCAGAGAUCACAAGAGCAAAGGAUUUAUCAUGCAGUGUUCUCAGCUGCUAAUGAAACCGAUUUCCUUAGACGAAAUGUUUUCACCUUCUCCUGUGAGCUCUUCAGCCUCUCUGGCUCCUCAGACUUUGCACUCGCCCUCUCCUUCGCGUAAGCCCAGUGCUGCCUCAGGAGGUGGGGUAGGAAUUUCUGCUAACAUUCAGCCAGCCUUGCCUCUCUAUACGGACCCAUGGAGACUAAUCCGUCAUGGACUUAAGUGUUUAGAGUGUAACAAGCAGGCACAGGAUUAUGUUGCUUUAGCAGCUCAUUACCAGAGAACCUCAGAAGAUAAUGAGAGACUGACGUGUCAAGUGUGCCAGAUGAUGCUGCCCAACCAGUGCAGUUACUGCGCUCACCAGAGGAUCCACGCUCACAAGUCUCCAUACUGCUGCCCAGAGUGCGGUGCUGUCUGCCGCUCCGCCUACUUCCAGACUCACGUCAAGGAGAACUGCCUGCAUUACUCCCGCAAAGUGGGAUUCAGGUGCAUCCAUUGUGGAGUUGUCUUCAUGACCCUCGCCAUGCUCAAAGUGCACAUCCAUGAGAAACACUGCGAAGUCUUCCACAAGUGUUCUUUUUGCCCGAUGGCCUUCAAGUCGGCCGACAGCACCACGACUCACAUGACCAGCCAGCACCCAGCAGAGCCUCACAAGACUACUCAGGUGAUCUACAAAUGCUCUUGUGAGACGGUCUUUAACAAGAAGAAGCUGCUACAAGAGCACUUCCAGCAGAACACCAACAAGUUGUUGGUGGGAGUGUUCAAGUGCCCACAGUGUCAGCUGGUGUAUAUGCAGAAACAGCAGUUAAUGCAGCACGUUAAGGGUGUUCAUGGAGUCCCCCAAAAUCCUGAGGAGCUCUCAAACUUCCGACAGAAAUCUGAGAAGGCAUCAAGGAACCAGGUUCAUGCCCCAGCAAAGGAGCUGUCAGUGGCCAAUGGGACUUCCCACUCCCCUCUGAUGAGGAGGGACAUGAGGGUGGAAGGAUACAAUCCCAAAUCCAAGGCCAGGCUGAGAAGAACUGGUUGGACUUGCAAGGAAUGUUCACAGUGGAUCCCUGAUCGGGAAACCUAUGUGUCCCACAUGAAGAGAAGUCAUGGAAGGUCUGUGAAGAGAUAUCCCUGUCGACAGUGUGAACGCUCAUUUAAUGCCUCCAACAGUCUGCGCAGACACAUCCGCAAUAAUCACGACACAGCAAAGAAAGUUUAUACUUGCUGGUACUGCACAGAUGAAAAUCAGACAUUUCCUCAGCCGUUCAUGCUGGAGAAUCACAUCAGCCUCAUGCAUGGCAUCAAAAACCCAGACUUAUCCCAGAUGGCCAAAGCAAAAGCUCCAGAGAGAGACACAGCAGAAGUAACUGAUAUAUUUUCAUUGAAAAAUAAAUGUACCUGGCGAGUAGCUAUUCCCUUGGGGUGUUAUAUCAAGCCCUCUCAUCCACAUGGCAGAUUUUCUUGUCCUCCUCUCAACUCCAUCCAGUUUGCUUCUCUCUGGCAGUGUCAGGAUCAGCUGCACUUCAGCUGAAAGUGCACAACAUGUCUUGCAUUUUUGAGGAUAUUCCUGAACAUGUGGCCUUAUGUUUUACUGGCCUUUUUGCAGUCUGCUUUGUAACCAGGUCUAAUUUAGAUUAUUACCCUUGUUUGCCCCUGCCGCCCUGUUCGUGAGUCUGAUACAUUUUUCCUCUUUCUCCCUUGUUUUUUUUCUGCUAGUUACAAAAGGGUUUUUUUUUUUUUGUCUUUAAAAUACUUACUACUUAGAUCCACUCCCUACGUGAACUGCCUUCCUCCUGAGUACGACUGUGUAAUUUGUUUUCAGCAAGCGUAGCUGGUCAACUGAUUUGAUUUCGGGUCAGUUUGGAGUGGAGGGUUGGCUGAUGAAGCUUCUUUGCUCCAUUUACUUUAAAAAUAGAUGUACCUUUUCCAUAUCACUGUUAUUUAUCAUUCACCUGAUUUCUUGAGGGAUUACAGCCAAGGCUGACUCUCCUCUGUAUUUAUGCUGUAAGGAAACCUGGGGUAACCCAAGAAUUCAUUUCCAUGAGCUGGCGGCUGCUUCCCCAAACAGAGCCACAUGGCUAACCAGGGACUGCCAGAGGCUUCCCAUGGCUCCAGCAGGUCUGCAAAUACAAGCCUAUAAGCUGUAUUCUAAACAAAGACGUCUCAGUGCUGCUGGAUAAGGAGAUAAGAAAAUCAUGUGAAGGGAUGUAUGCAAGUGUGCCAUCCGCACGGGAAGAGAAGCACACUGUGGGAUGAGGGGAUGAGUUCAUUAGAAACGCCAUGAAGAAAGAGCCUGAGUGGAGAAUGCUUGGAGUUAAACCUGAGAAGCAUUGUCUGGGCCGAUGACAAUCCCCAUGUCCCUCAGCUGUCUCUGCGUGGUGGGCUCCUCCUUCCCACACCAAGUUCACAUUCUCUUUCCCCAUCAUGUUCCUGCCCAGGCACCCCUUACCAGGUCUCCUGUUGCAAGACAACAGUUGAGAUCAUGCAUGUUGGGGUGAGGGGUUUGGGUGCUGGGUGGAAAGGCCAAGUGACACACGAGUCCUGUGGCACAGCUUUGUCUAGUUUGUUUCCAAAUACCGAUGUGGAUUCACCCACAGGUGUCUUCAGGCCAAAUCUCCAAAGAGGAUGGCAGUGGAUGAGCUGGGUCAGGCAGAGACCGCUGCGGGUUCGGGCACGCCGCCAGCCAAAAAACUGAGAGCGCACUGGAAAUGCGCCAAGUGCGGAUUCACG